rnacentral:rRNA from 1 species
CGGGUGAGUAAUGCGUGACCAACUGCCCCAUGCUCCAGAAUAGCUCUUGGAAACGGGUGGUAAUGCUGGAUGCUCCAACUUGACGCAUGUCUUGUUGGGAAAGUGUUUAGUGGCAUGGGAUGGGGUCGCGUCCUAUCAGCUUGUAGGCGGGGUAAUGGCCCACCUAGGCUUCGACGGGUAGCCGGCCUGAGAGGGCGGACGGCCACAUUGGGACUGAGAUACGGCCCAGACUCCUACGGGAGGCAGCAGCC